AAUGGGAGGCUCUAUCGAAUUUGAAUGAGGAGUGUAUCUUUCGGCGCCAUUUUCGAGUGAGCAGCGAUUGCCUCAGCAGCUGCAGAGAGAGGAUGCUGCGAAACACAGAGAAAUCUGUCGGGGAAAGAAGACGGAGCGCUCAGAAUUAAACUGCGCUUUUUUAAGAGAGGGGGAGGACCACGUACUUUCAAUGGAACGACAGAUAAUGAACCUCUGCCUGCUUUAGGAGCAGACAGAAGACUUCCGCAAAGAUGCUGAUGAUCACCUUAUCAUCGUUAGGUAGAAAAGUAUAAGUCUGUAGUUAUCUGUGAACAUGAGGUUUGGACUAGAAGCCAGAGGGAUUAGGACAGCAGAUUCACCCAGAAGAAGCGAAGCACUGCACAACCUGAAUGCAUUUCUGGCGAUGCUGUAGCAGCACGGAAUGGUUUGUGGGUUACACAGAGAUGCAGGCCAUACUGUGCUGCCGCAGAAAAGCCUGAAAAUACGACCCGGCUCAACUCGCACUCCUUCAACAUGUUGAAGUUGACAUGUUUACUGUUCGAAACGUAUGCAAUGUAGACAACUGUUUGCCUGAUGAUUAAAAGUUGGUUGGAUUUGCCUUUGCCCUUUGCUGGUCGCCUUACUGUAGCAGCACGUAAAUAUUGGAGUUAAGACUCUAGCUGAAGCCUCCAGUAUUGAUCGUGCUGCUGAAGCAAAGCUGAUCACUCACAAUCAGCACAACCAACCUAACCUCUGAUGACAGGGUGAAUGUGACAGAUGAUCACAGGUAGAUUGUUUCCACACAAUCACUACUUUGUUCUAAUAAUCUAAAUGUGUUGAUACCAUCUUUAUAUUUCACUGUUCUGUCUAAACACUUGAAAAUAAAAAUUUGAAUUGGCUUUUGA